rnacentral:rRNA from 1 species
UACGAAGGGUGCAAACGUUGCUCGGAAUUAUUGGGCGUAAAGCGCACGUAGGCGGCUUGGCAAGUCGGAUGUGAAAUCCCUCGGCUCAACCAAGGAAGUGCAUCCGAAACUGCUGAGCUUGAGUACUUAAGAGGAUCGCGGAAUUCCCGGUGUAGAGGUGAAAUGCGUUGAUAUCGGGAGGAACUCCGGCGGCGAAAGCGGUGCACUGGUGGAUUUCUGACGCUGAGGUGCGAAAGCCAGGGGAGCAAACGGG